ensembl:lncRNA
AUGCCAGCAUCCCUCCCAGCCAUGCCCAGUGCUCUGCAAGUCAUUCCAGGGGUUACUGGGGAGGUUGGACCCUCCACAUUUCAGGAAUUGGUUUCUCUUCUUACCUUCAAGCACCAGCCUUGUGACAGAGCAGGAGUGUCCCGACGGGAUUCAGCACCACUGCCUUCCCCUGCCUUGCUCAGCCUGCACCAACAUCUGCAAACCUCUGGAAAUCCAGGUCCAGAGGAGCCGAGGCUGGCUGUGCUGGGCACGUCACCACUUGAGCAUUCCCAGGCUCCAAUGCCUCCGCAGAUCCCGAUGUCGGAGCGGCCCUGGACCUGCAGAACGGUGAGAACUCCCUGGGCUCCAGUGGCAUUGGGGUUGUGCACUGGGACACUCAAAAUCCAGCUCUUUUUACCUCGUGGCCACCCCUGCUUGGUGGCAUUAGCCCUCUCAUUGUCCCCACCUCCUUGUGCAGAUCUCCUGGGAGAUCUCCAGCCUGUUGUCACCACCCCAGAACGAGCAAGAAGUCACUCUGGUGGGGCUGGGACUCAGCUCUGGGGUGCUGAGCUCGGGUUCUUGCUCAGGGCUGGUGGCAGGCAGCAGUGGGACCCCAGCCUUGGCCACUGCUGGCCCUCAGCCUUGGCCGUGCCAGGAUCCAUGUGCAGCAGCAGUUUGAGGAGCAGUGGUUCGGGGUUUGGAUGGAUUUAUUUCCUGGGAUUUGGGAGUUCCUCAGCUGGGAGAGGAGCUCUGGAGGCUGUGCCAGGAUCCAUGUGCAGCAGCAGUUUGAGGAGCAGUGGUUCGGGGUUUGGAUGGAUUUAUUUCCUGGGAUUUGGGAGUUCCUCAGCUGGGAGAGGAGCUCUGGAGGCUUUGCCCCUGCUCUGCCAUCCAGAUGCUGGACAGGCAGUGAAGCCACAAGACCCUGCCAUCCCCUUUCCCUUCCACCAUGGAGAUUUCUGAUUUUGGGAUCCUCUUGGGGCUGCACAUGGGAAAGGAGCUGCUCUCCUGCUGCCCCAGCCCCAGCUGAUGCCCUGCAGCCGCAGAGCAGGGGACUGGCGCCAGCGUGUCUCGCUCCAAAUGUCACCACUGCCAUCCUCCACCCUGGGGGAAUUUUUGGGAUGGCACAGCUGGACCCCUCCAGGCUCUGCUGGGCCCUUCUGGAAUGUGGGCAGUGAGGCCAGGAGGGACCUCAGCAGGGCUGGGGUGAGUCCCCCUGUCCCCUCCCUCUCUGGGAUUAUUUCAGAGGUUGGUCCCACUCCUGCCUGGCGUGACAGGGAUGGAUUGGGAUGUCAGCAGCCAUUUCACCCCUGUAAUGGCAUUUUGCUCUCGCUGCUCCCAUGAUCAUAAUUGGGAUGGCAAUAAAAUCUCCGACGAAGCAGCAGCUGUAGACAGGUCUUAAAAAAUGCGCUCAGCCAGGGACUGAUGCUGAGCAGAGCUGGGAGGGGGAGGGAAAGCUGUCACUCCGUGCUCCUGCUGGCUGGAAUUCCCACUCCAAGCAGGGUGUGGGCUCCACCUCUGCCCUGUUUCCCCCCCCCCACCCCGUUUCGGAUCUGGUUCCUGCGGGGCUGAGCAGUCCUGCUGGACUGGGCUGUUCCCCAGCCACAGCUGCCUGUGCCUGCUGGCCUCGGAGCAGGCAGCUGUCCGUCAGUCUGGCCUGUCAGUCUGCUGCUCUGCCCACAUGUCCAGCAGUCCGGUUGAUUAAAGCCUCUGGAAUGAUGGAUCUCCCUCCACGCUGCAGAGACUGGCUGGCAGCAGCCAGGGCUCCAGGCUCCCUGUCCAGAGGGCAGCUGGGCUUGCUGGGCAGCCCCUGCCAUGGGUGAAGGCCCGUGGGGCUGAGCAGGCUCCUUGCUGAGGCUCAGGGCUGCAAAGAGCCAUUGUUUUAUCCAGCAGCUCGGAGGGGGGGCUGGGACUGCCCUGAGCGGUGUCAGCCCCGUUCAGGUGAGGGAUUUGGAGGAGAUUUUGCCAUCAGAGGUCCAGCACUGGCAGGCAGUGACAGCGAUCAGGGUGUGAUUUAUGUGCCAGCCCCCUGAGGGGCUCAGGCCGGCACUGAAGUGCUGAGCUUAAUGAACGAGCUGACCUAACGAGGGCUGGCACGGCUGGGCUGGGGCAGAGCCCGUGGGAGGCAGCUGGCACUGGAAUCACUGGGAAAUCACUGUCCAGCAGCAAGGCAGGGCUCUGCUGGGCAAACUGGGAGCAGUGCUGGCACUGGAAUCACUGGGAAAUCAGCGUCCAGCAGCAGGGCAGGGCUCUGCUGGGCAAACUGGGCAAACUGGGAGCAGUGCUGGCACUGGAAUCACUGGGAAAUCAGCGUCCAGCAGCAGGGCAGGGCUCUGCUGGGCAAACUGGGCAGACUGGGAGCAGUGCUGGCACUGGAAUCACUGGGAAAUCAGCGUCCAGCAGCAGGGCAGGGCUCUGCUGGGCAAACUGGGCAGACUGGGAGCAGUGCUGGCACUGGAAUCACUGGGAAAUCAGCGUCCAGCAGCAGGGCAGGGCUCUGCUGGGCAAACUGGGCAGACUGGGAGCAGUGCUGGCACUGGAAUCACUGGGAAAUCAGCGUCCAGCAGCAGGGCAGGGCUCUGCUGGGCAAACUGGGCAGACUGGGAGCAGUGCUGGCACUGGAAUCACUGGGAAAUCAGCGUCCAGCAGCAGGGCAGGGCUCUGCUGGGCAAACUGGGCAGACUGGGAGCAGUGCUGGCACUGGGGGCGGCUGCACGUCAGCAUCCCCAGCGCUCCGCACGCCCCCGAGCAGCGUCAUCCAUCAGCGCUCUGAAAGGUGCCUAAUUACAGCCUCUGCCUUCCUGUUCUCUUAUUCAUCAUCCUGCCCCAGCACCUCACUGCUCACCCAGCUGGAGCUGCCUGGCUUGGAGCAGUGGGGGCACAGGGACCCUUCCUGUGGCCAGGGCUCACGUCCCCCCCUGCUGCUCAGGGUGACGUGGGUGAUGUGUCCCCCCAGCAGGAGGGGACACCCCCAGAGGUGUCCCCAGCACAACCUGGGGAUGUCCUGCCUGGCCAGGCUCUGGCACAUUCCCUGUGUCCCCUCCCAGGUGGCUUCAGCCCUGCUGCCUGUGGUGCUCUGGCUUUGCUCCCAGGCUGUGUUUCGGUGCAGAAGGUGAGGGAUGAGCUCAGGAGGGGGAGGCAGCUGCAGAGGAAGGAGCCAAUUCCCCUCUCUCGUUUAAUGCUCUGUGUUUGUGUCUCUGUGGGGGCAGGAGCCCUUGCCAGGAGCUUUUCUCCUGUGCCUGACUGUCACAUCUGUGCUGCUGGGGUCUCGUGUUUUGUGCAUCCAGCAGCAGCAAAUGUCACCUGGACCCUACAACCGAGGUGCCAGGACAGUUGCCAGGGGUUUGGGUUCCUUGUCCCCACUCCCAGGCUGGGGAGAAACCUGAGACCAGGCAAGCCUUGGCCACAGGUUGGUUUGGAUGGGCACCUUGGGCUUGGAUGGGGACCUGGGCAAAGCCCAGCUUUGGUGGGAGAGGACUAAGCUGGACACUGUGGGCAGCACCCAGUCCUGCUGACAGACGGGGAGGGGAAAACAUCAGCAAGUCCUGGUGCCAGGGGCUGUCACCCUGCAUUUGCCUCCCAGCCCCUCCUUGUCCUGCCCCUGAUGUUGAUGGGCUUCUGCAAAUUGAAAGUUCUCACUUGAGCCCUCAGGGGAGGAGCCCCUGCUGCCCAGCCAGGGAGCUGUGUGAGCUCCAGGGCUCCUGGUGGCAUUCCUGGAGCAGCUCCGUGCCCACGGGGCGGGCUGGGAUGCAGCUGACGGCCGCUGUGUGAGCUCCAGGGCUCCUGGUGGCAUUCCUGGAGCAGCUCCGUGCCCACGGGGCGGGCUGGGAUGCAGCUGGGGAGGGAGAGUCAAGCUCAGCCCCUGCUCUCCUGUGCCCCAGCGGGUUCUGAGGCUGCUGAGGUCCAGCUCGGGUUCACUCCCAGCCACCAUUUCCCGGCAGCAGCUGGGAUUCAGCUCUGACUGGUGGCUCAGUCAACCCACCUUGGGUGGAAACAGGAGCCCAGCACCCACCUGCCCUGCCCCCCUCCCCUACUUUUAGAAGAGUUAUCCACUUUGGUAGAGAAAUAGAGAUGCUCACGGAAUAUUAAACACCUCCCCAAAGCCCCUGUUGCUGGUGAGUGGCUCCUGCUCCUCGUUGCCUGGUGCAGGCAGUGACCUUUCAGAAAUGUUGUACAUUGUGGUCGUCUCUAAAUGUCUCCUCUCCUGGGAGCAUCUUGUGGAGAUAGAGAUUCAGACAUGAUGUCUGUCAAGAAGAAAAGCAGAUUGUGGCCAAUCUGGGGCUGCCUGUGCAGUGUUGCCUGGGCCACGUGCUUGGGAAUCAUAAGGUUGUCUCUAAAAAUAAGCAGUGGCUUCUUUGGGGUUGUCUCCUUGGUGCUGUGGCUCAGCAGGGAAUCCUCAGUUCUGGGGGUUUGUGAGGGCUGGGAGUUCCCACGUGGGAGAGGGUGGAGAGUGCUGAGGAUGGGAUGGGAUGGGAUGGGAUGGGAUGGG